UUGCGGAACCUGAACGCUUCUGAGACCACUACUCUAAGCCAGUAUGGUUGCGUUUGCGGCUGCUCUCAGCGCGGGCGGGUCAGGCACCGAGGGAGCUGAGCUAGCAAGGAAGCUUCUGGGUGGGUUAUCCUGUCAGGCAGUGCAUCCCGCUGGUCAGCAGCUGCCUCUGCAGACGCAAGGACCGAUUCCUCGCGGUUUGAAGCAGGUUCGCCUGUACGCCGAAGCCGAAAUGGAAGAAGAGCUGCUGAGAGAGGGAGGACGCCAUUAAAGGACACGGCCCCUCCACGGCCGCGCCGAGCGGCGCAUGCGCGGACCCCUCCCCGCGGCCAGCAACGAGCAGAAGCGGCGGCAGGCGGGGCUUUCCUCAGGGACGUUACAACUCGUCGAGGUUGGCAGCGGCGCCAUUUUGAACUGACAGGGGGCAGGGGUUGGUGGCUGUUGAACCGGGCUCCGCGUCCCCCAGGAAAACCAGAGAGAACGGAGCGAGGGCUGAAUAUGGCAGCGAAUAGGAACUUGAAACAAGUGCGGAUCGAGAACAGCUCCCCAGCGGCGCCGCUGGGCAUGGUGGGGGGUGGCGGCGGCGGCGGCAACCUGAAGGGAUUGCGGGGCCUAGAAACGGAGAGUGAGGCAGCAGCGGCCAUGGCGCUAGUGCCGAGCAAAGAAGGUGGAGAUGAAGAGCAGGAGGUUGGGUUCACCAUCGAUAUCAAAAGCUUUCUCAAGCCUGGCGAGAAGAGCUACACGCAGCGCUGCCGGCUGUUCGUGGGGAAUCUGCCAACUGAUAUCACCGAGGAGGAUUUCAAGCGCCUCUUCGAGCGCUACGGGGAGCCCAGCGAGGUCUUCAUCAAUCGGGACCGCGGCUUUGGCUUCAUUCGCUUGGAAUCUAGGACAUUGGCUGAAAUAGCAAAGGCAGAACUUGAUGGUACUAUUUUGAAGAGCAGACCACUUCGAAUUCGAUUUGCUACACAUGGAGCAGCCCUGACGGUCAAGAAUCUUUCACCUGUGGUUUCUAAUGAGCUACUGGAACAAGCAUUCUCUCAAUUCGGGCCAGUGGAAAGAGCUGUUGUUGUAGUAGAUGAUCGUGGCAGAGCUACAGGAAAAGGUUUUGUAGAGUUUGCAGCAAAACCUCCAGCACGGAAAGCUCUAGAAAGAUGCAGUGAUGGGGCAUUCUUGCUAACAACAACACCUCGACCUGUUGUUGUAGAACCAAUGGAGCAAUUUGAUGAUGAAGAUGGGCUCCCGGAGAAGCUAAUGCAGAAAACACAACAGUAUCACAAGGAAAGAGAGCAGCCUCCACGUUUUGCUCAGCCUGGAACAUUUGAGUUUGAGUAUGCUUCACGGUGGAAGGCUCUUGAUGAGAUGGAAAAGCAACAGCGUGAACAGGUUGACAGGAACAUUAGAGAAGCCAAAGAGAAACUAGAGGCAGAAAUGGAAGCAGCUAGACAUGAGCAUCAGCUAAUGUUGAUGAGGCAAGAUCUCAUGCGACGUCAAGAAGAAUUGAGGCGUUUGGAAGAACUUCGAAAUCAAGAACUUCAGAAACGCAAGCAGAUACAAUUGAGACAUGAAGAAGAACAUCGACGUCGUGAAGAAGAGAUGCUGCGCCAGAGGGAACAGGAGGAAUUACGACGACAGCAGGAGGGAGGAUUUAAGCCAAAUUUCAUGGACAAUGUAAACCUGAACAAAUGCAAACAUGAACACAGCUCUGCGGAUCAUCUUGGGUUCCCUUUGGAAACCCCAAAUCAGUGGCCACAAGGGAUUGUGUGUUUUCCUGAGAACAGCUCGGCAUUGGAGUCCUUCCUGUGUGUGAUGGAUAGUGGCUCUGCUACUCUCAAAAUGAUACCUGUGCCUGCUGGUGCAAAAUGUCAUAUGGCUCACUUCAGUGGAAGUCAAAAUUUACCCAUGCUGCUAUUCUCUGUUGCUAGGUUACUAUUAAAAUCUUAAAAUGCAGAUGAAGACUGGCUUGUGCAGAAUCCUUCUGCUGUUUUAUGCAUACAAAAGGAAAUCCUAAACCAAGUUUUAGUAUGAGCCAGGCCUGCCCUUGUGAGACCUGAGGCCAUGGGGCCGUUUGAAACCAUGGGGUGGGUCCCGCACCAGCACCCCAGACUGGGAAGGACACAUCAGAAGAAUCUGAAAAUGGUGUCUGCUUGUGAGGUUCAAGAUGCCUUUUCCUGUACGAGGAGACGAGUUACAGCUUUUAUGAUGUUACUGGCUUCAGCCUGCGGCAGAGAAGGUGAUGCCCAGUGUCAGCAAAGCGGUGAACAUGAAUGAAGGGCCUGAUGGGAACCUGAUGAAAAAAAAAAGGCAAAUGCCAAGUCCUGUGGUGGGUACAGAAUGAACCUGAUGCAGCUGUGCAGCCUGGGCACACACCGGUGCUGAAGCUGCUUUGCAGAAGCCGAUCUGGGAGUCUUGAGGGACAAGUGAAGAAGGAGGUGUCCAACCCCAUUCCGGGCUCCAUGGGAAGACCAGCGGCAAGAGACACAAUUUUCCCUCCCUGUUUAGUGCUGCUGUGACCAGUUCUGGGGUCCUGAAGACAAUGUGUAUAUGGGAACAAGUCUGGUGGAGGCCACCAAGAUGAUCAGGAGAUGAAAGCGUAGGAGCUGUGGGGGUAGACAGCAGGGUUUGUUCAGUUUGGGAAAGAUGAGGUAGGGGAGUAGGAAAUUUUCUUCCUGCAGCUGCAUAAUGGAAAGGGGUAGAGAAGAUGAAGCCAGACUCAUCUUAGCAGUGCACAGUACUGAGGAAGUCCCAUAUAAUUCUCAGUGUGUGUAAGUGUUGCAUCGUACCGCUAAUAAAAACAGUGCAAGCCA